AAAAUCCGUCGACUUUAGAAAUCGUGAGGGUUA
rnacentral:tRNA from 1 species